UGCCCUCCCGGAUCUGUUCACAUUUGGAA
rnacentral:piRNA from 1 species